rnacentral:piRNA from 1 species
UUGAAUCGUAGUUUUAGUGGC